rnacentral:rRNA from 1 species
AUGGGGGAAUUCUCCAAGGAAUCUUGCCCUUCCGUGAAGAACAUUUUGCUACUGGAUUCUGAGGGGAAGCGUGUUGCUGUGAAGUACUUCUCCGAUGAUUGGCCGAAUAACGCAUCUAGGUUGACCUUUGAAAAGUCCAUUUUUACUAAAACUCUGAAGACAAAUGCACGCUCCGAAGCUGAGAUAACAUUGCUUGAUGGUUAUAUUGUUGUUUACAAGUUUGUACAAGACCUACACUUUUUCGUCACUGCCGGAGAUGAUGAGAAUGAGCUCAUCAUAGCAAAUGUGCUACAGGGUUUUGCUGAUUCGGUUGGUCUUCUACUCAGGGGUGAUGUUGAGAAGAGGACUGCACUUGAGAACUUGGACUUGAUUCUUCUCUGCAUUGAUGAGAUUAUUGAUGGCGGGUGUUGGGCAUCAUACUCUUGUGCCAUGUCAACAUUCUGCAGCAUGUUUAUGUUGUAUUGUUGUCUACUUUUUAUUUUAUGUCCAUUUUCUGGGAGCUCUCAUGGAGUUUCCUUAAUAUAUGGGAAAAGCAUAAUUCUUGAAACAGAUGCGAACACCAUUGCGGGGAAGGUUGCAACCAAUGCUGCUGACGGCUCUGUUCCCUUCUCUGAGCAGACAAUAUCUCAAGCUCUGGCCACAGCCAGGGAACACUUUGCAAGAUCUCUUCUGAAAUGA